rnacentral:rRNA from 1 species
UACGGAGGGUGCAAGCGUUAAUCGGAAUUACUGGGCGUAAAGCGUGCGCAGGCGGUCUGUUAAGUCCGUUGUGAAAGCCCCGAGCUCAACUUGGGAAUUGCAGUGGAUACUGGCAGGCUGGAGUACGGUAGAGGAAGGUGGAAUUCCCGGUGUAGCAGUGAAAUGCGUAGAGAUCGGGAGGAACACCAGUGGCGAAGGCGGCCUUCUGGACCAGUACUGACGCUCAUGCACGAAAGCGUGGGGAGCAAACAGG